CCCCUAGACGUUCUGGGCUGCACGCGCGCUACAAUAAUACGCACAGCGAGUAUCACCGAGCUCGAAAGGGCAAGGUAAACAAUAGAAAAGGUACUGUAAUGGUUAUAGAUCCUUGUAAUUAUUGAUCUUCAACGAGGAAUUCCUAGUAAGUAUGUGUCAUCAUCACGCACUGAUUACGUCCCUGCCCUUUGUACACACCGCCCGUCGCACCUACCGAUUGAAUGGUCCGGUGAAAUCUUCGGACCGUGACUUUGAUUUGUUUACUCAAAACGCUGUUACGGGAAGUUGAUUAAACCUUACCAUUUAGAGGAAGGUGAAGUCGUAACA
rnacentral:rRNA from 1 species